ensembl:lncRNA MCPH1-AS1 MCPH1 antisense RNA 1
GCAUGCUCCCCAGCUGGGCCGGCUGCGGACGCGGGAAGGGAGGUGGUGGCGACUGACGGAACUGGGUGAAGGAUUCUUUCUUUGAUUUUAUAAGCUGACAUGAUUGCUUGUUCUGUUGUGAAUGCACGCUGCUCUGGGCCUCAGUUAACCCAUCACACCUGAGCUCCACGCUGUCCACGGGUGCUUUUUCUGCAGUGUUAACGUCAUCUUCAUGGUCGGUAUCAUCACGAUCACCUUGAUUCAGAACCAUUCUGGCUAUUUCCCCAACAGUCAAUGAAAUGAACAACCGGAGCCUCAUUAUCAAUGUUAAAAAUGACAUUAAUGUGUACUUCUUCCCGCUGACUGAUGAACUCUGAAGGUAUAUUUUUUGGAGGUCAGACAUCCUUUUCUUCUCACUUGACAAGCUGAAUUCUUCUAAACCACCACCUGGUUCAUCAUCAUCACUGAACACAGUCGUAGGCCAGAGGUCACGCCAGGCACGCACAUCUGUGUCUUUAGUCACUGUGUUGCAAGCGUUGGCAACAGCAUGUAUGGCAUCCUUCAUGCUCAGCUCCUGAAAAUCUUCUACACCUACACCUCCGUUCACUGCUGCGAGCGUGCAAUUCAAGACAGUGUUUUUAUAUUUACUUUUCAUUGAUCUAAAGAUACCCUGGUUACAGGCUCAACUAAUGAAGUCACGUUUGGGGGAAAGUACACAGCAUCAAUAUUAUCUUUGAUGAGAAUUUCAGCUGGAGGAUGAGCAGAACAGUAGUCAAGGCAUAAGAAAAUCUUGCUGUCAUCAUCCGGUCCAACUUUUCUGCAGCGAGCACAAGAGGCCUGUACGAAGUGUUUGUAAAACCGAUCAGAAAAGAUGUCCCUGGUGAUCUAUGCCUUUUUGUUAGCAUAAUAAUGGACUGGUAAGAAAUUUACUCUUUGAAAACAGCACGGACAAAAGCUUUUGCCCAUGAGAGCAGGUUUACACUUAUGCGUGCCUGCUGCAUUUGCACAGCACUGCACAGUCAUUCUGUCCUUGGCAUCCUUAAUUCCUGUAGGGGCUGUCCCGUCAGCUGUAGUCAGCAUCUUUCUGGGGCAGUAGCACCCAAAUGGUCAUGUCUCAUCAGCAAUACAGACUUGUUCUGGCAUCAGAUUUUCAUUAGCGAUAAUCUUGGCAAACUCGUCAAUGAGUUUCGACGCUGCCUUGUGAUCUGCAGAUGCUUUAAAACUUGAAUUCCAUGUCAUUUCUUAAAUUUCUGCAACCAGCCUGUUGAAUAUUCACAGUUCCCUUCAAUUUUCAGUUCAUCAGGAUAGAUCUUCGCUUGUUUCAUGAUCAGCCUACCACUGAGUGGCACGGGUUCAGUGUGAUGCCUUCAGAUCUAGUUUUUCAAUACACUAUUCACAUCUUCAUUUUUAGCUUUACGUAGAGUUUUUCUAUUUUUCAUUAACUUCUGCUCAUCACAUUCAGCAUAGAACUUCAAAAGCGUAUCCUUCUGUUUCUUCAGGUCAUGUAUGGUGGUCAUCCCAACACCAUACUCUUCUGUAAGACGCUUCACACUUAUACUGCUGUUCAGUUCCUCCAACAAGUUGACUGUUUGUGCUAUUGAUAAACAUAAAUUAUUCCUCUUUUUCUGAUCACUGUUACACAUAGGGGGAUCUGCAGGCCUUUUCGACAUUUUCAGUAAUAUUUUUACAUGACACUGCAGAGAAUAAGCAAAAAACCACAGUGAGUAAUGCAUGGAGUUCUCGGCCCCACGUGAGGUAUCGUGGGGAAUCUGCGUUGGGUGCGUCCAGCCUGCACACGUGCCAUUUUAUUACACAUUGUGGGCGUGCUUGUGUGGGGGAAUUUGGGUGUGCAUGGAAAAGUUAUACUAUAGUUGAAGGGGGCUGGGUGGGUCUUUUUUUUCCCUUGGGGACGCUAAAUCAACUGUGUCGUGCACCUGUGCUUUGACUAUGCCCUGUCACAUGAGGUCAGGUGUGGAAUUUUCCACUUGUGUUGACAGAUUGGCACUCAAAAAGUUUAAGAUAUCGGAGCAUUUCAGAUUAAAAUUAGGAAUGUUCAACCUGUAUUACAUGGCUAGCCUUGAAUCCACUAUUAUUUACUAUGUUUUCUGUUACAUUUUAUAAUUGUUUAUCAUUGGGUAUACAAAUGCUAAAGAUUUCAGUGAGUGGAUCUUACAAAGAGGAAUUUUGCUGAAUGAGUUGUAACAGUUUAUUGACUCUCUUUGAUGUUUCUAUGUAGACAACUGUAUGACAUGCAAACAAAAUGUGUCCCUUCCUGUAUAAUUCUUGUAAUUUUUUUUUAUUUUAUUCCCUUGACUAGGAAUCAUAGAACACUGUUGAAGAGUAAUAGCAUUCAUGUGUGUCUUGUACAUGAUUUAAGCCUUAAACUAAGGUUUUCACCAUUCAAUAUUUGUUGUACGUUUUUUAUAGAUA